GGGCUACACACGUGCUACAAUGGACGGUACAAAGGGCAGCAAGACCGCGAGGUUUAGCCAAUCCCAUAAAACCGUUCUCAGUUCGGAUUGUAGGCUGCAACUCGCCUACAUGAAGCUGGAAUCGCUAGUAAUCGCGGAUCAGCAUGCCGCGGUGAAUACGUUCCCGGGCCUUGUACACACCGCCCGUCACACCACGAGAGUUUGUAACACCCGAAGUCGGUGAGGUAACCUUUUGGAGCCAGCCRCCUAAGGUGGGACAGAUGAUUGGGGUGAAGUCGUAACAAGGUAGCCGUAUCGGAAGGUGCGGCUGGAUCACCUCCUUUCUAAGGAA
rnacentral:rRNA from 1 species